AUUGUGGUGACAAUAUCUGUAUGCCUGAAGUCUUCUGAAGUGGAAAGUGACCUGUUUUGUUUGUGGAAGCUCUGGAAUCCCACAGGAGAAGGAUCGCUCAGCACCAUGGCCAUUUGCCAAGUACAACUUGUUCUGAAACACAGUGGUUCUGAGAAGUUGCAUUAUCAACUGAAGCACAAUGUCAGCGUAGCAGGAGACUCCGGAGAUCUAGAGAGGCAUCCACACUUGUGUGUUUUUGGAGGAACUAAACCAUUUGAUUUCUUAAGGACCCAGACUAGAAGAACAGGUUACUUCUGAGUUAUGGGAAGCUUUGAUUUAGAUUCCAAUGCCUAUAUGGCACUGAGGAUUCAUUUAUGCUUCACUUAUGUGGAAAAAAUGCCUGUGAUAGUGUCUGUAAAGCCAUGUUCCCUGAUAAUCUUCAUUUUAAAUCUGGAUUGCCCUUGGGGAAUCAUAAAGACAGACUAUUGGUAAACUGAGGGGAGCCUCUGGAAACAUCCAGAUUUGCAGAAUCUUCCAGCAUCUCCUUGAAAGCUUUAAUUAUCAGUGGUGUCUCUGCUACUUGCAUCACAUACUCCACAGAGCAGCCUGCAUUAUCACACCAUCUCACCAAAUCCCCUUGCACAGUUCUGUGUACAGUCUGGUAGUCACUGGGGUGACAUUUAGAAGCAGCGUUGGCAUGAUCCAAGAGCCUAGACAAAGCCUGUAGAAAUCAUUAUGUUUUGGGCUAAGCUUGAAGUCACUCCAAAUUUUAAUCUCCAAUAUGUACAAUGGAAAAAAAAAUUCACCUUCCAUUCAUAUUUCAUUGUAUUUUUUUUUGAUUGUAUGUUUUGUCAAGCACUUUUUUUUCCCAAAUACCUCGUAUAUCUGCUGCAUUGCAUCUGUGAAGAUAUGGUUUUUUCACUAGACUGUGAUAAUUAAGAAAGAGUUCUACUAAAAUUAAGCUGUAACCUAUUUGCAAGCUCCGUGUCUCUGAUCUAUUCAGUCAAAUACCAAGUUUCAACUCAAACUUAGGGAGAGUGGUGAUAGCUGUGUGAUUGCGACCUCUGUGCCGUGCUUAUCAACCAUCUUCACUGCAGUUAUCAGUACUUUGUUUUUAACUGUCUCUUCGUUCUUUCUCCGUGGUUGCAGUUGUAUGACCAUUUCUGCUAUUAUACCCAAAAGCAAAAACUGAAACAGGAGGAAUAUGAUUAACGAUUUAACUUGAACCUGUCAAAUACUGUGUCAUUAAAAGCAAAAAGCACUUCCCAUGAAUCAGAACAUUUAAGCUAUUAGAAUGGAUAAAAAUACAACAGAAUUCACAGCUAUGCUUGUGAUUUUUUUUAUUUUUUUUUAUUUUAAGAAAGGAGAUCCAAUUCUCUGCAAGAAAAUGCCAUGGGAACUAGAAAGAGGCAUUUUAUCCUGUUAAUCAUAGUUGUUUCUAUACAAACUUUUGUAUCUAAUCUACUGUGUACAAAACUAUAUAAUAAUGAAUAAAUGCUAAAAGCUUUGGUUUAAAUGACAAGUUGAUACCCUCCCUUCUCACUGAUGAAAAAGGAUAGAGAUUGAAGUGUAGAGUAAUAGCUCUUAUUCACCAAAAUGUGAACUUUCAAAAUGGAUUAAAUGUAUGAGUCCCCAUCAACAUCGUGCUUCUCCAGCUUCUUGCCUCAGAUACUGUAAUGGUAUUACUCCAGUUUCAUUGACGAUCACCUCUUUUGAGAUCUUGACCUAUUCACUGCGCUAUGCUGGCUUCAUGUUGAUGUUAAUUAAAUGAAUCCGAAUCUUUCUAGCUUGACACUACAAUGAUGUUUAAUUCAUUACAGCCAUGCUGUGGUACGAUGUGUACACCUUUGCAUUUUGGCUUGUUUAUGUUGUAAGUUAGUAGUUAAACUCAGCUGACUGACUGAAUGAUCAACCCAUCUAAAACCAGCUUCAAACUACCUGCACUUCACUGUAUGUUACCUCAAAAUGUUGCCAUGCAAAUUCAGGCAGCUCUUCACAGUUUUUUUCCUGAAAAUAUAUUGCCAUAAAUUACCAGUCUGUCAUAUGAAAGAAUAUAAUACUUAUCAUUUUUCAAUGUAAGUGCAAUUUUGGGAAGCUUAACUAGCACUUCACAAACUCAGUAGUUUGAGUUCUCUAGAUGACAGCUUUUUGUGAGAGGUAAAAACCCAAAGAGGCUUAAGGAGGGAACUCUGAGAGAUUAAAAAAGUACCUUCAUGUGAAAAAGCUUGCAAACAAAAUAGGGCAUUAAAUGAACUUAUUCUCUUUCCAGUGCUUUAGCUGCAAGGGGCCUCGAGCAUACCACAUGCUUUUUCACUUUUAGGGGCCCUCUACGUAAUACAAAUUGAAACCAGGGCAUGCCUUUCCUUAGAACUUCUGCCAGGCAUUUUAUUUUUGUAGCUGUCAACUUUAAAAUCAUGCUUUCCUGUUACUGAUGUUUUGAUGGAGGUGGGAGAAAAGAGUACGCAAGUGAACUCUGAUUACUUGAAUGAGAUGCUUUGGUCACUGGUAUCCUGGCUGACCCUCUCACAUGGGGGUGGGGAGCAGCAGCAGUCUAGACGGAAGAGGCCAACGACUGGCUGUCCACUCAGGUUUCAGAUUAUAAAUGAGCAGUCUUCAAUUUCUCACAGAUGUUUGGCAGCCGCUUUGCUUUCACUCUAAUUGUAAGCAGGAAUUCUUAUGUUUGAAGAAUGUGGUGACCAAUAGACCUUCCUAGGGUACUCUACCACUAUAGCUCCAGUGUUGGUGAUUCCAUUGCUGUGGUUUAAAUCUAUCAACUAGAAAACACCAUGUUUUUUUAAAAGUGAAAUCACUAGCACUAUUAAAUCAUUCAGUCCCAGCACAUCUUCCUUUAAAGUGUGGGGGACAGAGUGUUUGUUUCAUGUAGAAUGUUAAUUGUCAGCAGGUUUACUCCAGAGAUAAACUUAAUCCUUUAAAUCUAAAGUCAGGCCAUAUCUGUAAAGAUUCAAGGGUUAGGAGCAGAUUAUUUUCAUCUCCUCCAAAUUAUAAAUGAAAAAUAAACUCAUUCAAUGUUAGCUGAAGUGAAAAAAAUACACAUAUAUCAUACAGUGUACGUGUUAGGUUGCUCAGAAAUAGUGUGUGAGAGUGAUGACAUCAAAAGAUGGUCAAAAGAACAAGGGGGAAUGUUUUUAAACUGAGACAGGAGAUUUAGGUUGGAUAUUAGAAAGAAGUUUUUCACUCAGAGGGUGAUGCACUGGAACAGGUUGCCCAGAGAGGCUGUGGAUGCUCCAUCCCUGGAGUCAUUCAAGGCCAGGCUGGAUGUGGUUCUGGGCAGCCUGGUCUGGUGGUUGGUGACUGUAUAUAGCAGGAGGGUUGAAACUAGAUGAUCAUUGUGGUCCUUCUCAACUCAGGCCGUUCUAUGAAAAGAGACCCAGUGACAAAUUUCAUAGGAUGUAAAGGAAUAUUGCAGAUAAAGCCUGAGAUGAAUUAGUUGUAUACCGUGUAGCUGCAGACUAACAUUGUUGCUGAGUGUCACGAAGGCUUAAUUUGUUUGUUUGUUUAACUUGUACUUCAAAAUAUACAAUGAUAAAAUGAUGAGAAUUACAUCCCAUAAAGUUACCCCAAAUAUGAAAGAACCCAGUCUUUAAAACCCCGCUGUGGCCCUUCUUAACAGGGAUUCCGUUCUAAGUGGUGUAUUAGGCAAUACCAAGGGAAAUACUACACUUAAAAGGGAACAGAAAACCUCAGCUGAAGAGAAACCCACUGGGUUGUGAAAUAAUUUCCCAGAGGAAGCACUGGAAAAAAAAAAUGGGUUGGGAUAUUUAGAAAAUGAUGUACAAAUUCUACUGGAAGUGCAAGGAAGGGGGCUGUCAUAAUUUAGCAGAGCAAAUGAAUGCUUUUGUCUUAAAUUAUAAAGGGUGAUCAUUUAUCACCCUGUGCAGCAGUAUGUAUAACUGAAGUUUCUAGAUACUAGAAUCUAAAUAACAUUAAAACAAUACUGUUUUACUGACACAGUGUAAGACGUUCAAAGAAACUCAAACUCAUUGUCAGGAUAGAGGCAGAAUAAAUACAGUAAGGUCCAAAAGGUCAAUAAGGCAUGAAACCAAACAGAUGUUUCAGCCUAACAUCUCUCUGCACAUCAUUGUUUGAAAAUGUUUGCAUUGUUACAGAAAAGAGAAGACGUUCUAUUAAAAAGGAGGGUGACUGUGUUACUUCAAAGGCAUUUUAAAAAUAUUAAAAAGGUAGGCUGAGAAGACAGAAAUAUUUGAGAAUGUGGGUGAGUGAAUGCAAAGGACUGACUGAAAUGGCAUUAACACUUCAGAAAGAAUCGACACUCGUAGAAUCUCUCUUCUAUACUUAUGUACUGUAAUUACCUAUCUGAUUUGUCAACCAAGGAACAAAACCUGUCAGCUGACCUAAGUUUCUGGGAAUGGCAUUCAAAAUACUUAUUUGGAAUGGCAAAUGCUCAAAUUCAAGCAGUAGACCAAGAAUUAUUGCACAGAAAAGUUGCAGAUUACCUUGCAUAAUUAUUCCAUUAUUUAAAGUUAAGGAAAAUCACAAUUUCCAUGGGUUUUCAAGCUGCUUACAGCAGGAAAAUGUGAAAUAAGCAAUUUCUGUUGUGCACUACUGUUCCGUUUUUCAUCUUUUACAUUUAUGCUUCCAAAGGUGGGAAUGCCAUUCAUUGCCAGCCAACACGUGGCUGGAAGGAAACAUAUCCACUUCAUUUGUAGUUGUUAACUUCAUAAACACACGUUCAAUCUCAAGGUAUUGAUUUAAUGUUUGAUUUAAUUAGUAUGGAUGAACAUGUACUGUAAGAGGCAGUAUAAAGUUGGCUUUCUGAAUCUGCAUUUUGGAAAGGAUAUAACUUUGUGCAGCUGCAGUCCGCCUUAUUCUUUCACCACUAUGACUCAUAUGAAGCCUGUCUCUGAUUCCUGAUGUCGGUGGCUUUCAGAAAACACUCAUGUGCACUGGCAGAUGCUCAGAGGCAAUGCCGAGUGGAGGAGAGCAGAGUGCUGCAUAAUCUUUCUCAGAAGUGCUGACUUUGGGGAGUGUGCUCUCUUUUAGGAUUGUUAUCGACAUGUAGCAUGUCAUGAAUUGACAACUUUGUAACACAGAGCAACAAAAACAAAAAUAUGCCUAGUCCUCAAGAGUCAGUUUCAAACAUACCCUGAUGUUUGUUCACCGCCUUUAAUCUAUGUACUUGCUGUACGUUAUCUUGUAUUUCUGUUGCCAAAUAGAAAAGCAAGGCCAAGCAACUUCCUAGGUAACAUUUCACUGUAAAGUCUAAACAAGAAACAGAGAGCUUCAGGCACAGAAGUCUGAUUCUUUCUUUAAAGAAUGUCUUUCCAGUUCUUAGAGAAAGUGAGAUGCUAUUUACAAAUAUCAGCUCAUCACAAUAGUCAUAAUAAUCAGUAGUGACAGAAACUGGUAUUUCUUCUAUGAACUUCUUAAAUGCCCAGAGGAAGUCUGUGAUUCUCUCGAAGUCUGCGUACGUUUUUAGAGAAGCAGCGUUUCAAUAGAGCAUUCUUCCACUUCCUUGGGAUCUGUGGAUUUUCAAUCUGUACUACAUUUUGUAGGCCCUUUUUGCAAAGGUCCAACUUCUGCUAAGGAGUUUUGUUUCUACCCACAAACCAAGCAAAUGCUUUAUUUUAUGUUCUCUUGCUGUUCUUCUGGAAUGGGUCAGUUUGGGGAAAUCUCUCUGUCCCAAUUUAUAGUUAUAGAUCUCUCCCCCUUUGGUAAAAAACAAACAAACAAACAAAAAAAUCAUUAGAUUUUUGCCAUUGCUUUUUACUGAACUUUCUUUCCUCUGAAAAACAACAGCGCAUAGGUCAUCGGCUUCCUUAAGGCUUCUGGGAGAUCCAGACUGGCUGGGGAACAUGAAAUUCCUGGCUCCUGCUACAGUACCCAGACCACUAGACCACAUAUUUUUGUGUCAUGGAAAAUUAAAGCCCAUUACUUUGCAAGCUUUCUUGAUCUGUUUCUUCCCUCACCCUGUUUCUAUUGCUUUUUACUGUGAUGAAGAUACAAAGUUCAGAUUUGAGAGUUAAAAAUCAGCUUUUAACAAAUCCAACAACUACAAUCUUCUGAAGAAUAAUACUUUUAAUACCCUAAAUAUUCAGACUACUGCCAGGUCAGUCAGCAUUUCAGCGUGGGUUGACAUUGUUUUCCUCUGGCAGUAAGCAGCCCACAUUAUGACUUCACCUCUUAAAUUUGCUCAAGAGGUUGAUUUUCACUAGAAGUGCAGUUUUUCCAAGCCAUAUUCAACUUAACCAUAUCAUAACUCAGGAAUUUAAUUUGUUCCAUAUUGUUACAAGUGCCAUUCUCAGCAGUUGAAUGGAUGACACUUUAUAUUUUUGGAAUCCUGAGAGCACGUAAUUUGUUUGGUUAGCCUUGUAUAAAAUGUAAGGAAUCAAAGGAACAAAUAAUUACAGCACUUGCAUAGAAGUACUUUUAUAUAAGUACUUAUGUAUACAUAUGGAUACAAGUACUUGCACAGAGAUAGCUAAACCUAUGUGUCUGUGCGUGUACAGUGGUCGCAUUCCUUUCUGGAGAACUAACCUAUGUAUCUUGUAAAAACAGCUGCUGCUUUCAUGCUUGUGUUCAGGAACUAGAUAACUGCAGCAACUCAUACCUCUUAAAGUCUAUACACAGGAGUCAUACCAAGCUCCCUCUGUGCUGCGCUCACUCAUACAUUGGGCUGAAGUCCAAUAUAGGAUGCAAGAGCCUGUGUGAUAAAUACUGAAGAUUCUGUUGAAUCUAAAUUUGUUCUUCCUGCUGUGGGGAUGAAGUGGGAAGGGAAGGAUCUUUCCCAUAUUGACACAGAACUGCAGAAUCACUUUUGGCUGCAGCCCUAGCAAUUCUCCUUCACAGGAGAAAUACAGUGCAGGAUUAAAUGAGGUCAUGGUAUCAUCUCCUUCACACCUACUUCACUCUGGUGUGUAAAGGGCUGAUAAGUAUAGAGCUCCAUAUCAAAAGCAUAUGAUGGAGAAGAGGAGAGCAGCAGAAUAACAAGGGAAGUGAAGGAGGAGAGCGUAGGGCCCUUACUACCUCGCUUGUGAAGGAAGUUUGUGGUAGUUCUCAGGUGAUCUUCUGAGGAGGAAGCACCUUCCUCCUUCACAGUACAGUAGCAAUAGUCCUUAUAGCAGUAGGUUAUUGUAAAUGCAAUAGCAGAGAAGCUGAAUAGUUUGCCUGCAAGCCCGUCAGUUUGAUUCUCCGCUGCUUACAUCAAUUAUCAUCAAUUAUCUAACUACAUUUUGUGAAUGGAGAGAGUUGCCACCCGCGUGUUGCUCCUGCAGUGGUCGGGAAAACAAAUGUAUUACUUCUCAAAAUGGCAUGGCAGAAGUCCAAGCGUAUCUAACAGAGGAAGGAAGCAAUCUUAUCAGCUUUUCUGUCCCACUGAUAAAACCAUACAAGGAAGUCGUUCCACUUUAAAUGAGGAAAAGGACGUCUUUGAUAAAAUUUAGAACUUGCCUUGGGAAUCACAUCAAUGAAAAUGACAUGUACAAAUAACCAAGCAUUUCAGUCUGUAUGAAGUAGUUUGUUUGUAAUAUCAAAACAGAAGUAUUUACAGGUUCUGACAAGCUUCCCCGUGGGGGAUCAGUUAACAUCCCUUCUGGCCUGUCUACUUGGUCAUGUACUUUCAGUCUAAACUGCUCUUUAUGAAAAGAAGAAAAGAAAAAAAAACCUGCAGCAGCCAACCUAUAUGGUUUUAGCUCCAUUCAUGCCAUAGAGUCUAAUUUGCAGUCACCAUUGCAAAAGAGCAUCUCAUGUAUUGGUAUUCCAGUCUUAUUUUGUACUAAAAACGCUUAAUUUUUCUAUGCAAAUCAUAAGAUCUUUUUUCAAUCUUUUUUGUACCUAAGCAAAUAUCUCCACUGGCAGUGUGUCAUGCCACGUGAGAGUACUAGUUCAGGUUUUCAAGAGCUCCAGAAUCUCUGUGGUGCACCUUAUUUUACAUAGCAGACAUACCCAGGUACCUCAUGUUUUACCUGUUCUUGCUUCUAGCAGAGUAAUGGUACUUGCUGAAAAGAAAACAAUCCCAACUUCAUUUGUCAGGUUAAGCAUUAUUAGCGUUCUUAUGGUAGCUCACAGGAGUUGGUGAAAAAAAAACAGCUCUGACAUUGUUUAGGUCUAUAGUCUGCAAUAACUUGAGGUAUAGUAAGUUAAUUUCAGAGUAAGGCCUGAAGUAAAUACUUAUCUGGUCAAAAGCAAAACACCACUGUAUUUCAAUGAUAUGUGUAAUUAGGGUUAUGGCACAGGUUAUUUGGCUUUGAUAGAUGUUAUUCUUCAGGUGCAGAUCCUGGUUAAUGCUGAAUGCUUGUGUCUUCCUGCUGAAUUAAUGAUAAUGACAGGUGUCCAAUUUCUAGAUUUUUUUUUAUAAUAAUAUAAGAAUGAAAUUAGCCUACAAUAAAAUAGAGUGCUCCACAAAGUCUGGACUUUUGAUACGAGUGUUGUACUUGUUAAUGUCACUCGUGUUUGAACUUAGAUAAAUCUGAAACAGGAAGGUUUGAGCAAGCUGUUGUGGUCGCUGUAUGUUGCUUUCUGACUGCUGAGGCAAAUAAGCAAAUUGAGUGCUAAAGCUAGAUUCUAUAAAUUAAGUGCGAGUCUGCACAUGCUUAAAAUACACAAAAAUUAAUAAUCAAAACCAGUAUACUCAAUUUAAUGUACCUUGAGAGCAGAACACUUGUUUAUUGGCUAUCAGUGAAAGCCAGAACCCUAUUCUUGCCAAGCUCUCUCACUUGCACGUUUGGCCACCUACCAGUCAUUGCUCUGGUAUUCCAAAAGAUUGGUACGGGUAUUUUAAGUUUUAUUUCAGUGUAUUUGCUCUCAUCAUUUUCAUUCUUAUUAUUAAGUGACAACUGCUGUUGCUAUUACAGGCUGAAAGUUCAAAGCAUGUUU